rnacentral:rRNA from 1 species
GUGCCAGCCGCCGCGGUAAUACGGAGGGGGCUAGCGUUGUUCGGAAUUACUGGGCGUAAAGCGCACGUAGGCGGACCAGAAAGUUGGGGGUGAAAUCCCGGGGCUCAACCUCGGAACUACCUUCAAAACUAUUGGUCUUGAGUUCGAGAGAGGUGAGUGGAAUUCCGAGUGUAGAGGUUAAAUUCGUAGAUAUUCGGAGGAACACCAGUGGCGAAGGCGGCUCACUGGCUCGAUACUGACGCUGAGGUGCGAAAGCGUGGGG